rnacentral:rRNA from 1 species
GUCCACGCCGUAAACUAUGGAUGCUAGCCGUCGGCAAGCUUGCUUGUCGGUGGCGCAGCUAACGCAUUAAGCAUCCCGCCUGGGGAGUACGGUCGCAAGAUUAAAACUCAAAGGAAUUGACGGGGCCCCGCACAAGCGGUGGAGCAUGUGGUUUAAUUCGACGCAACGCGAAGAACCUUACCAGCCCUUGACAUGUCCGGACGACUGGCAGAGAUGCCUUUCUCCUAGCAAUAGGUCGGAACACAGGUGCUGCAUGGCUGUCGU